AUGCUCCACGCGCCGGUGCGGACCCUCCGCCUUCGCGCUCCUCCUGGCGCGGCUGCUGGCCGCAGGCUUGAGCUCCUCCUCGUCGCCUCCCCAGCACCGUGCUGCUUCGUUCUUCGCCGCACCUCUAGCAGGCACGUCCACGCGGCUCCGCCUGCGGCCAGUUUGUCGCCCACCUCCCGCUCGCUCCUCUGCCCACGGCCGCGUGCCCGCGCUGGCCGAGUCGCCCACAUCACCGCGCUCCUCUCCACAUCCAGUGGGUGGGCCGGCCUCCUCCAGCCGCUCCUCCUCGCCCGAGCUGCUGCCGCCAUUGGGCCCAGCCUCCCGCGGCCAUUGAGCUCCGCCAGCACCGUCCCGCGCCGCUGCUGGUCCUCUACCGGGUUCGCGCGCAUCGGCCACUGCUGGGUCCGGCUCCGCCCGUCUUUGCGACCGGGCGGCUUCGGUCAGACUCCCGCGCCGGCUGCUGUCGCAUCUCGGCCCGGCCGCCUCCGGCUCCGCCUACGCCGCCUGCUCGGCCACGCCCGCACCGGCCUACUCCAGUCACGGAUCCACCUGUCGGGUCUCCGGCUGUUCGCGGGCUUGGCCGACUCCCCCGCCUUCACGCUGCUCCGCCACGGUUCGGCCGCAUCGCCCCGCCUGUUCUGCGCCGACUUUGGGCUUCUCCGAGCCCAUCUGGGUUGCCAGCUGCCGGCCGCGCCAGCUCCGGCUCCUGCCGCCUGCCGUCUCCGCCGUGGCCUGGACGGUCGGCCUGGCUGGCUGUCGGCCCUUUCGCGUCUCGCGCGCGGCUCCGUCCGUGCCCGGCCGCCUCCCGACGCGCCUGCCGAAUGCCCCGCACGCCCCAUGGCCGGCUCGCCGCUUGUCGGCCGCCUGCUGGCCCCGCCUCCCCCGCUCCGGCUGCCCGCUUUGGCCGGCUGCUCCACGCGAAGGCUAAGAAAGAAAGAAAAAGAAAGGAGUCCGACUGAAAAGUCAAAGAGCCGACUGCUGGCAAAAAAAAGUGUGCGUGAAUCCGCUUGCCCAGAUCCGGCUGGCCGGGUGCCUACAGCCGACGGGUAG
rnacentral:rRNA from 1 species